UGAAAGAUAAGCUAAUCAAGCUAAUAGGUUCAUACCCUGUAAAUGAAAGUCCACACUCUUCUCUUUCUA
rnacentral:tRNA from 1 species